CGCAUCUGUGCAUGCAGCAUAUCAAUAAGCGGAGGAAAAGUAAACUAACAAGGAUUCCCCUAGUAACGGCGAGUGAAGCGGGAAGAGCUCAAAUUUGAAAUCUUAAAGGGUUUCCCUUUACGAAUUGUAGUUUAAAGAAGUGUUUUCUGUUGAGGUUUUGGUAAAAGUUCUUUGGAAUAGGACAUCAUAGAGGGUGAGAAUCCCGUAUUUGACCUUUACUUUCAACUUUGUGAUACACUUUCAAAGAGUCGGAUUGUUUGGGAAUGCAGUCCAAAAUGGGUGGUAAAUUUCAUCUAAAGCUAAAUAUUGGCGAGAGACCGAUAGCGAACAAGUACCGUGAGGGAAAGAUGAAAAGAACUUUGAAAAGAGAGUUAAACAGUACGUGAAAUUGUCAAAAGAGGAAGCGUUUGACACCAGUGUUGUUUUUCUGAAAAUCAAUUAAAGAACUGUUUAUGCUAAGUUGUUUAGACUUUAUCAGCUAACUGUUUAGUUUUGAGCUUUUCUUUAAUGCAGCUUUUCAGUUAACAAGUCAACAUCAAUUUCUUUUGCUGUAAAAAAGCUUGAGGAAGGUGGCUUGAGAUUCGUCUUAAGUGUUUAUAGCCUCUUGCCUAUGCAGUCGGAGAGAUUGAGGUCUGCAGCGUAGAUCCUUCGGGGCUAAAUGCAUUUGUGCUAAGUUAUAGCAUUUUAUAGACAACUUGUUGACUAUGAUUUGUCUUGUAGCUUACUCGCUUAUGUUAUUUUACCUACGCUUAGGAUGUUGAGUCGUAGAGCACGCAG
rnacentral:rRNA from 1 species